CUGACUUUUCAAAACCUCAAGAUUAACGAAAAUAUAUACUAAAAAGCCGCCCAAGUUACAAAUCUAAGAGAAAAUAAAUUCGGAUAGCACGUACCAGUGUAAAAAGCCGCUGCAGAACGAACGAGAGAACGCUACACUUUUAAGAGAUGCAAUAUUUGAUUUGGGUUCCGUAAUUUUCCAGAAGUUUUAUAUCAAAAGUGUGCAUAUGUUUCUUGUGCGCAUGUGAGCUUUCAGAUAUACUGAACUGAACCUGAUCCGCAGGAGGUGGUGUGGGCGGUUUGUGUUCUUGAUAUUUGGAGGAGGGAACAAACCGUUUGUCUUCGACCUUUUUGCAUCUCACGCGGAUGGGAGGAAAUGGUGCCACGUAGCCACCAAAAAAAGACAUUUUUCCAAAAUGAUCAUUGACUAUUGUUUAAAAAAAAAUUUUGAAAAACCUGUAAAAAUCUUAAAAACAAUGAAAACUCAAUAGAUUAUGUAAAAUUAUUGAAAAUGAUAUGUUUUGAUGUGUUUUUGGGCAAAAAUGGUGAUCCCGGCACCUGGACCGGAGAAGAAAAGGGCGGAGAGGGCCAGACGUCCCAGAC
rnacentral:lncRNA from 1 species